rnacentral:lncRNA from 1 species
UAUCAUGGUCAUCCUUUAUUUCUCUCUCUUCGAUACACAGCAAGCAGCAUCUGUAUCUUCUUCUACAAUAUACCACAUCCAAAAUUAACAGCAAACAUCUUCAUGUCUGACUUCUUCUUCUUCUUCUUCUUCUUCGAUACACAGACCUCAUAGCAGUCCCCCACAUCAAUUUCCAUUCUCUCCUUUCGAUAAACAACAACAACCGAUCAACCUGGAGCCGACAUCAACCUGGUACAGCUGCUGAGAUUCAGAUACAACCGACAAUAACCAAGUACAGUCUUCGUCGCUGAGAUUCAUUAUCACAGGAAGUCUUCGUCGUCCAAUAAUGAGUCUUCGUCGACUAGGAGUCUUCGGCCAGGAGUGAGUCUUCGUCGACACAUUGAGUCUUCGCCGGUAAACAGGCUUUGUCAACAAGUAGUGGACGAACCUUGAGGGUUCGUCGUUUGGAGGAUUGUACGUCACAAGCAUGCUUCGUCAACAUCAGAAUCUUCGUCAUGUAUAAUAAGGCAAGUGACGUAGAAUGGUGGAUGGUAGUGGUGGUGCGGUGCUAGUAGUGGGUUCAACGAUGGUGGAGUUGUGGUCCGAUGGUAAUGGUGGUGAUUGGGGCUCUAGGGGUGUAUGAUGGGUGGUUACAGAUCUGGGGGCUACGGUGGUUGCAGAAGGUGGGUGGUGGAGUGUGGUAAUGGUGGUGAAGGGGAUACGGCUAAUGAGGGUGGGUGGUUGCAGACCUGGGGUGGUGGCUAGUGACGGUUGUUAAUAGUUACAAAAAUGCAAUCUGUUAUACACUUAAAUGCAGCUUUUUCUAUACUGA